UGGGGAAUAUUGCACAAUGGGCGAAAGCCUGAUGCAGCGACGCCGCGUGAGGGAUGACGGCCUUCGGGUUGUAAACCUCUUUCAGUAGGGACGAAGCGCAAGUGACGGUACCUGCAGAAGAAGCACCGGCUAACUACGUGCCAGCAGCCGCGGUAAUACGUAGGGUGCGAGCGUUGUCCGGAAUUACUGGGCGUAAAGAGCUCGUAGGCGGUUUGUCACGUCGUCUGUGAAAUCCUAGGGCUUAACCCUGGACGUGCAGGCGAUACGGGCUGACUUGAAUACUACAGGAGAGACUGGAAUUUCUGGUGUAGCGGUGGAAUGCACAGAUAUCAGGAAGAACACCGAUGGCGAAGGCAGGUCUCUGGGUAGUAACUGACGCUGAGGAGCGAAAGCAUGGGUAGCGAACAGG
rnacentral:rRNA from 1 species